GGCAGUGCGUUUGCUAAGGGUAAGCAUCAGGAGUUAAAAACUCUGAGUAUAUAGGUUCGAUUCCUUUCCGCUGCCA
rnacentral:tRNA from 1 species